GUCAAUCUUAACAAGGUCAAGGUUGUUGAAGCUACAUUAAUAUUCUUGGUCAAUCUUAACAAGGUCAAGGUUGUUGAAGCUACAUUAAUAUUCUUGGUCAAUCUUAACAAGGUCAAGGUUGUUGAAGCUACAUUAAUAUUCUUGGUCAAUCUUAACAAGGUCAAGGUUGUUGAAGCUACAUUAAUAUUCUUGGUCAAUCUUAACAAGGUCAAGGUUGUUGAAGCUACAUUAAUAUUCUUGGUCAAUCUUAACAAGGUCA